GUAUUUACAUUGCACCAUUCUAGAGACUUUUACAACCAUUCUAGUCAAUGCUUGGCACUGCUUGUGUGCAGCUGCUUAGCCAUGAGAACCCAUUUUAUAAAGCUUCUGAUUAAAUAUGCAUGCAGACGUUGCUUCCAGAGGCAGCCUGUAACUAUUGCACCCAAGCUUAGAUUUGAGUGCAUUGGACUUUGGAAUCCCCAUUCUUUGCGAUUGCAGAUGAGUUUUCAUGGCUUCUACACCUUCUAGUCCACAGUACAUGCAGUUGAUCAAAUCAACUGUAGUAAGGCAUCCAAUUUAACCGUUAAAAGGGCAAUAUCCUAUAACAGUGCCAUAUAAAAG